rnacentral:snRNA from 1 species
GCACACAUACUGAAACUGGAAUGAUACAGAGAGGUUUAGCAUUGUCCUUGUGUAACGAUGGCACGCAAAUUCGUGAAGCGUUCUAUAUUUUU